CUCCAGGAAGUCACUGGAAGAUCUGCUUCAGUCAAACAAGAGAAUGAAUCAAGAAAGCAGAUGAACCAAGAUGUGGCAAUGAGGGGUUAUCACAAAGCUGCCUCAGCCUGCAAAACACCCAGAAGAGCAGUGGGAUGGAGGACUCACAAGAGAAGGUCUCCAAGAUGCAAAAUGUAAACAUACUGAGGAAACAUUUUUUUCCUACUGCGGAACUCCACCACUGUAAGGUAGAACUGAUUACAAUGAAAACAUCUGAGAGCUACAUAAGGAGCUUGGAUCCAGAGGACAACGAGUUUUUGAGACAGUUUGUUAACCUGUGAUGAUGUGGUAAUCAUUUACAGGGUACUAUUAGUGCUCAGAAUAAACACUUUGGGUCCUCCACAUUAUAGAAGUAAGUUGGUCUCUCAGCAAAGAGAAAUACUCACUGAAAAGUCUAACACUGGGGUCCUGAAAAUGUAGUGUGAACCAUUCCUUUGGCAACAUCCCGGGCGUCUUCCCAUAUACAAUACCCCGACAGUUACUUGCAUGGGUUUAUGUUCUGAAACACAGUACCAAGAAAGGGAUGAACCUGCCUGGACUUAGAGCCAAUUACUA
rnacentral:lncRNA from 1 species